rnacentral:rRNA from 1 species
UACGAAGGGGGCUAGCGUUGCUCGGAAUCACUGGGCGUAAAGCGCACGUAGGCGGAUUGCUAAGUCAGGGGUGAAAUCCUGGAGCUCAACUCCAGAACUGCCUUUGAUACUGGCGAUCUUGAGUCCGGGAGAGGUGAGUGGAACUGCGAGUGUAGAGGUGAAAUUCGUAGAUAUUCGCAGGAACACCAGUGGCGAAGGCGACACGCUGGGCCGUACCUGACACUGAUGCGCGACAGCAUGGGGAGCAAACAGG